AUUCCAGCUCCAAUAGCGUAUAUUAAAGUUGCUGCAGUUAAAAAGCUCGUAGUUGGAUCUGGGGCUUGAGGUCGCUGUCUAUCGUUUCGGCGAUGGCGGUGAUGCUCAGCUCUGCUUGCCGGUGACUGUUGCGGUGUUCUUCACUGAGCGCUGUAGCAGCACGGCACGUUUACUUUGAGAAAAUUAGAGUGCUCAAAGCGUGCUUGUCGCUUGAAUAAUGUUGCAUGGAAUAAUGGAAUAGGACCUCGGUUCUAUUUUGUUGGUUUUCGGAGCUUGAGGUAAUGAUUAAGAGGGACGAACGGGGGCAUUCGUAUUGCGGUGUUAGAGGUGAAAUUCUUGGAUCGCCGCAAGACGGACUACUGCGAAAGCAUUUGCCAAGAACGCUUUCAUUAAUUAAGAACGAAAGUCAGAGGUUCGAAGACGAUCAGACACCGUCCUAGUUCUGACCAUAAACGAUGCCGACCAGCGAUCCGUAGUGGUUGCUUUAUGGACCCUACGGGCAGCCUCCGGGAAACCAAAGUAUUUGGGUUCCGGGGGAAGUAUGGUUGCAAAGCUGAAACUUAAAGGAAUUGACGGAAGGGCACACCAGGAGUGGAGCCUGCGGCUUAAUUUGACCCAACACGGGAAAACUCACCCGGUCCGGACACCGUAAGGAUUGACAGACUGAUAGCUCUUUCUUGAUUCGGUGGAUGGUGGUGCAUGGCCGCUCUUAGUUGGUGGAGUGAUUUGUCUGGUUAAUUCCGAUAACGAACGAGACUCUAGCCUGCUAAGUAGUGUUGCUAUUGUUAUAUGGUUGACACUUCUUAGAGGGACAAGUGGCAUUUAGCCACGCGAAAUUGAGCAAUAACAGGUCUGUGAUGCCCUUAGAUGUCCGGGGCCGCACGCGCGCUACACUGGAGAAGUCAGCGUGUGUUAUCCAAGUCCGAAAGGACUGGGUAAUCCGUUGAACCUUCUUCGUGCUUGGGACUGUGGCUUGGAACUAUUCCACAUGAACGAGGAAUUCCUAGUAAUUGCAAGUCAUAAGCUUGCGUUGAUUACGUCCCUGCCCUUUGUACACACCGCCCGUCGCUACUACCGAUUGAAUGGUUUAGCUAGGUCCUCGGAUCGUGGCCGUAGGGGCACGCAAGUGUUUCUGCGGUUUGCGAGAAGACGACCAAACUUGAUCAUUUAGA
rnacentral:rRNA from 1 species